rfam:Schistosoma curassoni strain Dakar, Senegal genome assembly, scaffold: SCTD_scaffold0000714
AUCCAAUUGACGAGUCUCAAUAAGGACGAAACGGGCGUCCUGGAU